UACGAAGGGGGCUAGCGUUGCUCGGAAUUACUGGGCGUAAAGGGUGCGUAGGUGGAUUAGUAAGUCAGUGGUGAAAUCUCCGGGCUUAACCCGGAAACUGCCAUUGAUACUAUUAGUCUUGAAUACCGUGGAGGUCAGCGGAAUAUGUCAUGUAGCGGUGAAAUGCUUAGAUAUGACAUAGAACACCAAUUGCGAAGGCAGCUGGCUACACGAGCAUUGACACUCAGGCACGAAAGCGUGGGGAUCAAACAGG
rnacentral:rRNA from 1 species